ensembl:lncRNA
GAGGAAGAGGAAGAGAGGAGGAGAGGAAGGAAGAGGAGGUCAAAGAGAGAGAGGAAGAGGAAGGAAGAGGAGGUCAAAGAGAGAGAGGAAGAGGAGGUCAAAGAGAGAGAGAGAGGAAGAGGAGGUCAGAGAGAGAGAGAGAGAGGAAGAGGCGGUCAGAGAGAGAGAGAGAGAGAGGAAGAGGCGGUCAGAGAGAGAGAGAGAGAGAAAGAGGAGGUCAGAGAGAGAGAGAGAGAGGAAGAGGAGGUCAGAGAGAGAGGAAGAGGAGGUCAGAGAGAGAGAGGAAGAGGAGGUCAGAGAGAGAGGAAGAGGAGGUCAGAGAGAGAGAGAGAGAGGAAGAGGAGGUCAGAGAGAGAGAGAGAGAGGAAGAGGAGGUCAGAGAGAGAGAGAGAGAGGAAGAGGAGGUCAGAGAGAGAGAGAGAGAGGAAGAGGAGGUCAGAGAGAGAGAGAGAGAGAGGAAGGAGGUCAGAGAGAGAGAGAGAGGAAGAGGAGGUCAGAGAGAGAGAGAGAGGAAGAGGAAGGAAGAGGAGGUCAAAGAGAGAGAGGAAGAGGAAGGCAGAGGAGGUCAAAGAGAGAGAGAGGAAGAGAAAGGCAGAGGAGGUCAGAGAGAGAGAGAGAGGAAGAGAAAGGCAGAGGAGGUUAGAGAGAGAGAGAGGGAGGAAGAGGAGGUCAAAGAGAGAGAGGAAGAGGAAGGCAGAGGAGGUCAAAGAGAGAGAGAGAGGAAGAGAAAGGCAGAGGAGGUCAAAGAGAGAGAGAGAGGAAGAGAAAGGCAGAGGAGGUCAAAGAGAGAGGAAGAGAAAGGCAGAGGAGGUCAAAGAGAGAGAGGAAGAGGAAGGAAGAGGAGGUCAAAGAGAGAGAGAGAGGAAGAGGAGGUCAGAGAGAGAGAGGAAGAGAAAUGCGGAGGAGGUCAGAGAGAGAGAGAGAGAGAGGGGGGAGGAAGAGGAGGUCAAAGAGAGAGAGGAAGAGGAAGGAAGAGGAGGUCAAAGAGAGAGAGGAAGAGGAAGGAAGAGGAGGUCAAAGAGAGAGAGGGGAAGAGGUCAGAGAGAGAGAGAGAGAGAGAGAGAGAGGAAGA